CUGCAGCUGGGCCUGGAGGCAGUGGCUCUACAGCAGCAGUGAGAGCUGAGCUGUGGCAGACACAUGCUCUUCCCCUGACUCACGGCUGCCGAGUUCCCUCCAGCGAGGCUGCUGACCUAUUUUUCUAUUAGGAACAACCAGCAAAUGUGAUAAUGAGGAAAAUGUAUACCGGCCCCUAUGAAGUUUAGUGAAGCCCGAAUGAAGUGGAGGAGGCCACGGAGAUGCAUGAGGAAGAGCAUUCCAGGCAGAGGGAACAGCAAGGACAAAAGCCCCUGGGCAGGAAUGGGUGUGCAAGCCUGAGAUCCAACAUGGCGGAGAGCAAGCCGGAAGUGCUGCGCGGGGAUCCUAAGGGAGCGCUGAACAGGACAAGCUCAGUUUUGUCUCUCAAACCUCCACAAUCAGACAUGUUCGGAGUUUGUUCCUUCUGGUGGGUUCGUGGUGUUGCUGGCUUCAGGAGUGAACCUACAGACCUUGGCGCUAUUUUACAUAAGGAAAGUGGGUGGUGAUUAACCUCAGAGUCUCCAGGGACAGACUAUCCAGGACUGUGCCUGAAAUAGAAGAGGAAUUAACAUCAUACAGAACUGAAUACGGUGACUGAGAGGAGUUUGUGUCUACCCUUUUAGGAAAGAAGAUGAGAAUAUGUAUGAAGGAGAGUCAUGUACUGUACAUUAAGCAAAAGCAUGAUGCUGUUAUUUGAAAUGUUAAUUAGAGGUGCCCAAUAAAAACUGCUCAG